GGGUUGUGAGGUUAAGCGACUAAGCGUACACGGUGGAUGCCCUGGCAGUCAGAGGCGAUGAAGGACGUGCUAAUCUGCGAUAAGCGUCGGUAAGGUGAUAUGAACCGUUAUAACCGGCGAUUUCCGAAUGGGGAAACCCAGUGUGUUUCGACACACUAUCAUUAACUGAAUCCAUAGGUUAAUGAGGCGAACCGGGGGAACUGAAACAUCUAAGUACCCCGAGGAAAAGAAAUCAACCGAGAUUCCCCCAGUAGCGGCGAGCGAACGGGGAGGAGCCCAGAGCCUGAAUCAGUGUGUGUGUUAGUGGAAGCGUCUGGAAAGGCGCGCGAUACAGGGUGACAGCCCCGUACACAAAAAUGCACAUAUUGUGAGCUCGAUGAGUAGGGCGGGACACGUGGUAUCCUGUCUGAAUAUGGGGGGACCAUCCUCCAAGGCUAAAUACUCCUGACUGACCGAUAGUGAACCAGUACCGUGAGGGAAAGGCGAAAAGAACCCCGGCGAGGGGAGUGAAAAAGAACCUGAAACCGUGUACGUACAAGCAGUGGGAGCACGCUUAGGCGUGUGACUGCGUACCUUUUGUAUAAUGGGUCAGCGACUUAUAUUCUGUAGCAAGGUUAACCGAAUAGGGGAGCCGAAGGGAAACCGAGUCUUAACUGGGCGUUAAGUUGCAGGGUAUAGACCCGAAACCCGGUGAUCUAGCCAUGGGCAGGUUGAAGGUUGGGUAACACUAACUGGAGGACCGAACCGACUAAUGUUGAAAAAUUAGCGGAUGACUUGUGGCUGGGGGUGAAAGGCCAAUCAAACCGGGAGAUAGCUGGUUCUCCCCGAAAGCUAUUUAGGUAGCGCCUCGUGAAUUCAUCUCCGGGGGUAGAGCACUGUUUCGGCAAGGGGGUCAUCCCGACUUACCAACCCGAUGCAAACUGCGAAUACCGGAGAAUGUUAUCACGGGAGACACACGGCGGGUGCUAACGUCCGUCGUGAAGAGGGAAACAACCCAGACCGCCAGCUAAGGUCCCAAAGUCAUGGUUAAGUGGGAAACGAUGUGGGAAGGCCCAGACAGCCAGGAUGUUGGCUUAGAAGCAGCCAUCAUUUAAAGAAAGCGUAAUAGCUCACUGGUCGAGUCGGCCUGCGCGGAAGAUGUAACGGGGCUAAACCAUGCACCGAAGCUGCGGCAGCGACGCUUAUGCGUUGUUGGGUAGGGGAGCGUUCUGUAAGCCUGUGAAGGUGUGCUGUGAGGCAUGCUGGAGGUAUCAGAAGUGCGAAUGCUGACAUAAGUAACGAUAAAGCGGGUGAAAAGCCCGCUCGCCGGAAGACCAAGGGUUCCUGUCCAACGUUAAUCGGGGCAGGGUGAGUCGACCCCUAAGGCGAGGCCGAAAGGCGUAGUCGAUGGGAAACAGGUUAAUAUUCCUGUACUUGGUGUUACUGCGAAGGGGGGACGGAGAAGGCUAUGUUGGCCGGGCGACGGUUGUCCCGGUUUAAGCGUGUAGGCUGGUUUUCCAGGCAAAUCCGGAAAAUCAAGGCUGAGGCGUGAUGACGAGGCACUACGGUGCUGAAGCAACAAAUGCCCUGCUUCCAGGAAAAGCCUCUAAGCAUCAGGUAACAUCAAAUCGUACCCCAAACCGACACAGGUGGUCAGGUAGAGAAUACCAAGGCGCUUGAGAGAACUCGGGUGAAGGAACUAGGCAAAAUGGUGCCGUAACUUCGGGAGAAGGCACGCUGAUAUGUAGGUGAAGUCCCUCGCGGAUGGAGCUGAAAUCAGUCGAAGAUACCAGCUGGCUGCAACUGUUUAUUAAAAACACAGCACUGUGCAAACACGAAAGUGGACGUAUACGGUGUGACGCCUGCCCGGUGCCGGAAGGUUAAUUGAUGGGGUCAGCGCAAGCGAAGCUCUUGAUCGAAGCCCCGGUAAACGGCGGCCGUAACUAUAACGGUCCUAAGGUAGCGAAAUUCCUUGUCGGGUAAGUUCCGACCUGCACGAAUGGCGUAAUGAUGGCCAGGCUGUCUCCACCCGAGACUCAGUGAAAUUGAACUCGCUGUGAAGAUGCAGUGUACCCGCGGCAAGACGGAAAGACCCCGUGAACCUUUACUAUAGCUUGACACUGAACAUUGAGCCUUGAUGUGUAGGAUAGGUGGGAGGCUUUGAAGUGUGGACGCCAGUCUGCAUGGAGCCGACCUUGAAAUACCACCCUUUAAUGUUUGAUGUUCUAACGUUGACCCGUAAUCCGGGUUGCGGACAGUGUCUGGUGGGUAGUUUGACUGGGGCGGUCUCCUCCUAAAGAGUAACGGAGGAGCACGAAGGUUGGCUAAUCCUGGUCGGACAUCAGGAGGUUAGUGCAAUGGCAUAAGCCAGCUUGACUGCGAGCGUGACGGCGCGAGCAGGUGCGAAAGCAGGUCAUAGUGAUCCGGUGGUUCUGAAUGGAAGGGCCAUCGCUCAACGGAUAAAAGGUACUCCGGGGAUAACAGGCUGAUACCGCCCAAGAGUUCAUAUCGACGGCGGUGUUUGGCACCUCGAUGUCGGCUCAUCACAUCCUGGGGCUGAAGUAGGUCCCAAGGGUAUGGCUGUUCGCCAUUUAAAGUGGUACGCGAGCUGGGUUUAGAACGUCGUGAGACAGUUCGGUCCCUAUCUGCCGUGGGCGCUGGAGAACUGAGGGGGGCUGCUCCUAGUACGAGAGGACCGGAGUGGACGCAUCACUGGUGUUCGGGUUGUCAUGCCAAUGGCACUGCCCGGUAGCUAAAUGCGGAAGAGAUAAGUGCUGAAAGCAUCUAAGCACGAAACUUGCCCCGAGAUGAGUUCUCCCUGACCCUUUAAGGGUCCUGAAGGAACGUUGAAGACGACGACGUUGAUAGGCCGGGUGUGUAAGCGCAGCGAUGCGUUGAGCUAACCGGUACUAAUGAACCGUGAGGCUUAACCUUACAACGCCGAAG
rnacentral:rRNA from 1 species